ACCUGGCUGGCUCAGUUGGUUAGAGCAUGUGUCUCUUGAUCUCAGGGUUGUGGGUUCAAGCCCCAUGUCGGGUG